CACAUGCUCGCUUCGCGCGCAUCCCUCUUAGGUGAUUGGCUGAGAGAAGCCGGCAGCGGAAGCGGCGGUGCCGGGAAGCCGCCGGGGCUGGAAGCCGGCUGCCCAGUGAGAGUUGCUUGGUUAAUUAAGAUCUGCUGAGGACAGGAUUCUCAAAUCUUCAAAAAUGGCAGCUGUUGCAGUGUUAGAGGAGGAACUGGUUUCCAUUGAAAAUGAGCUGCAGGCAGUGGAAAUGCAGAUUCAGGAGCUUCUUGAUAAACAGCAGGAACUCAUUCAUAAGAAGAUGAUGCUAAAGAGGCUGAUAAAGCAGUCCUCAGAAGACUCGGGGGCUGGGGGAAGCGAAGAGACUGAAACCUCAGCUGAGGCAUGGAACAAAAAAGAUUUUCCCUGGUAUGAGAAAAUCAAAACAGCACUGCUGAAUAAGUUUAAACUCCAGAAGUUUAGGUCCCUGCAACUUGAAACAGUAAAUGCUGCAAUGGCAGGAAAGGAUAUAUUUCUUGUCAUGCCUACAGGUGGUGGAAAGAGUCUUUGCUAUCAGUUACCAGCUGUCUGUUCUGAUGGUUUCACGCUUGUGAUAUGUCCUUUGAUAUCACUUAUGGAAGAUCAGCUCAUGGUUUUGGAACAGCUUGGCAUUUCUGCAACUUUAUUAAAUGCCUCAAGCAGUAAGGAGCAUGUGAAGUGGGUUCAUGCUGAAAUGCUGAACAGAAAUUCGCAACUGAAGCUCAUUUAUGUGACGCCGGAGAAGAUUGCAAAAAGCAAAAUGUUCAUGUCAAAGCUAGAGAAAGCUUAUCAGGCAGGGUGUCUGGCUCGUGUUGCUGUAGAUGAGGUCCACUGUUGUAGUCAAUGGGGACAUGACUUCAGGCCUGACUACAAGUCUCUCGGUAUUUUGAAACGACAGUUUCCCAACGCUCCAUUGAUUGGAUUGACUGCAACUGCUACAAAUCAUGUUUUAAAGGAUGCUCAGAAAAUUCUGUGUGUUAAGAAAUGCAUUACCUUUACCGCAUCUUUCAACCGGCCCAAUCUUUACUAUGAGGUUCGACAUAAACCGUCAAAUAAUGCGGACUUUAUUGAGGACAUCGUUAAGAUCAUCAAUGGAAGAUACAAAGGACUCUCAGGAAUUGUUUACUGUUUUUCUCAGAAGGACUCAGAGCAAGUUACUGUGAGUUUGCAGAAACUGGGAAUCAAAGCAGGGACUUACCAUGCAAAUAUGGAUGCAAAAUAUAAGACCAAAGUUCAUAAAGGAUGGGCAACAAAUGAAAUACAGGUUGUAGUGGCAACUGUUGCUUUUGGCAUGGGAAUUGAUAAACCGGAUGUGAGGUUUGUAAUUCAUCAUACUAUGAGCAAAUCCAUGGAGAACUAUUACCAAGAGAGUGGACGUGCAGGUAGAGAUGACCAAAAAGCUGACUGCAUUUUAUAUUAUGGUUUUGGAGAUAUAUUCAGAAUUAGCUCAAUGGUAGUGAUGGAAAAUGUAGGGCAAGAGAAGCUGUAUGAUAUGGUGUCUUACUGCCAGAGUAUGAACAAGUGUCGCCGGGUCCUCAUAGCCCAUCACUUUGAUGAAGUGUGGGAUUCUGCAAACUGCAACAGAAUGUGUGAUAACUGCUGUAGAGAGAACUCAUUUCAGAAAAUGGAUAUAACGGCAUACUGCCAGGAUCUAAUCAAGAUACUUGAGCAAGCUGAAAACAUGAGUGAGAAACUCACACCAUUGAAAUUAAUUGAUGCAUGGUUGGGGAAAGGUGCCUCAAAAUUGAGGGUGGCUGAUGUUACUCCACCAAAGCACACUCGAGAGGAACUGGAGAGGAUAGUUGCCCAUUUACUGCUGCAGCAGUAUCUGAAAGAAGACUUCAGCUUCACAGCGUUUGCUACAAUAUCCUACCUGAAGAUAGGACCAAAAGCUGAUCUGCUAAAAAACGAGGCACAUAUUAUCACGAUACAAUGGACAACAAACGAGAAAAGCAUCUACAAGAACAAAUCAUCUCAGUCUGCAAAUCUGAAAGGAAAUGGAGGAAAUACUCAGAAUAUUUCAAAGAAUAUCCAAGAUUCAGUAUUGAAGAAGUCUCAAGAACUUAAGCGGCCUAACUGUGGAACCAAUUCAAAAGCUAAGAAGGUUAAGCUUCAGGCAAAUGGAAAUGAAAAACCAAUAGUGCUUGACUGAGUCUUAGAGGCUACAUCUAGGAUUAACUGUGUUUGCUUCUCUAUGGACAAUCUUGGUGCCCAUUGCCUCUUGACCUAGGAUUGUGCUCUUCUGAGAAACGUUUGGCUGUGUUGCUAUGGUACCAAGCAGAUCUCCUGAGCUCCCUUGCCUUCUGCGGCAGUGUCGCCUGGCAUUCUGACAAGCGUAUCCCUGAACAAGUUAAUCUAUUCUCCUGAAGUCUGGGGCUGCGGUACGAGUGUGUCUUGCUCACAUCUCUCAGUCACUGAGCAACAUCUGGGAUCUGGGCCCCCAGUAAGAUGGUUGAUUGGCUGGCAGGUCUUCGAGGGGGGCCUGUUUUUCCCCAAAGAAGGGAUUCUCUGAAAUUAAACAUUAAAGAAAAAUCAUGUUUUGAGUUGAGCACUGACAGGCCCUGAGAUUGAACAUGGAAAGAAGUUAGCAUACGAAGUACCCUGGGAUAGAAGAUAAAAAAGAAUGUUCAAGCUACUACUUUGAAUUUGGGAAAAGAGCAGCUGCUUCUGAAAUAGCAGUAUUUAGUCACUGGUAAAGUUUUUUGUUUUAACUUUCCUGAUAUUUCUAUUUCUGAGACUUCUCAGCACUGUUCUCCUCAGUUCUGCUUGGUUUUGUUAGAAUUGGGAGCAAGAACAGCUAGGCCAAGAGAAAAGGUCCAAAGAACAGCUCUGUUCACACUGUCUCAGUUCUUCAGCAAUAACAACUGCUGGGCUUUCAUUGCUUGUAUGCUUAGCAUUUAAGCAGUGUUUAAUCUCAAAGAUACAGAUAUCAUGGUUACAUUAUUUAUUAAAAAAUCUUUGAACUGUGUGAAAGUUGCAAAAAAGAGCCAAUAAUUAAAUGCACUCUGAAGUCUUAUAUGCAUUUAAAUAUUUGAUACAAAUGACUACUGACUUUCUGUGCUCUUCCACAUACUGUUAAUGAACAAUUAACAAUGUCCAUUUGUA